rnacentral:rRNA from 1 species
AGAGUUUGAUCAUGGCUCAGGACGAACGCUGGCGGCGUGCUUAACACAUGCAAGUCGAACGGUGAACCGGGCUUCGGCCCGGGGAUCAGUGGCGAACGGGUGCGUAACACGUGGGCAACCUGCCCCAGACUCUGGGAUAACUCCGGGAAACCGGGGCUAAUACCGGAUACUCCGAUCGAACCGCAUGACUCGAUCGGGAAAGCUCCGACGGUCUGGGAUGGGCCCGCGGCCUAUCAGCUUGUUGGUGGGGUAACGGCCUACCAAAGCGACGACGGGUAGCUGGUCUGAGAGGACGACCAGCCACACUGGAACUGAGAUACGGUCCAGACUCCUACGGGAGGCAGCAGUGGGGAAUCUUGCACAAUGGGCGAAAGCCUGAUGCAGCGACGCCGCGUGGGGGACGAAUGCCUUCGGGUUGUAAACCCCUUUCGGCAGGGAAGAAGCGCAAGUGACGGUACCUGCAGAAGAAGCUCCGGCUAACUACGUGCCAGCAGCCGCGGUAAGACGUAGGGAGCGAGCGUUGUCCGGAUUCAUUGGGCGUAAAGCGCGCGUAGGCGGUUUGGUAAGUCGGAUGUGAAAUCCCGAGGCUCAACCUCGGGACUGCAUCCGAUACUGCCCGACUAGAGGUAGGUAGGGGAGAUCGGAAUUCCUGGUGUAGCGGUGAAAUGCGCAGAUAUCAGGAGGAACACCGGUGGCGAAGGCGGAUCUCUGGGCCUUACCUGACGCUGAGGCGCGAAAGCUAGGGGAGCAAACAGGAUUAGAUACCCUGGUAGUCCUAGCCGUAAACGUUGGGUGCUAGGUGUGGGCGGAUAUCGACCCCGUCCGUGCCGAAGCUAACGCAUUAAGCACCCCGCCU